rnacentral:lncRNA from 1 species
UAAAAUAAUUUUUCAUGAUUUUUCAUGAAUUAAAACUAUUUUUAAAUCAUUUAUUUAAUAUUAUAAUUAAAUAAAUAAAUACCUUUUAUAUUCCAAAAAUAUUAAAUAUUUAUGAAAUAUACUCAAAAUAAUUAAAAACUAUUUUUCAGACUUUAAAAUAAUUUUUCAUAAUUUAUUUGGUAUUUUUAAUAAUUAAAAACUAAUUUUUCUAAUUUUUAAAUUAAUUUUCGGAAAAUCAGAAAUUAAAAUAAUUAAAACUGUCGCUAAAGGCCCCUAUAGUGACAGAACCGUCGCUAUAGGUGUUCUUGAGCCUACCCAGAUCUUCAUAAGGCAGAACCGAGUGGGCUACUUUGACCGUGAAUAACUCUCUCAUCUUAACGAAUUUGGACAAUCUAUAAAUUGGGUCUUUUAGAGGAAAUACAAGACUACAAGAUCCAAC